GGUCCUAUGGCUUAGAUGGAAGAGCGCCUGCCUAGUAAGCAGGAGAUCACGAGUUCGAGUCUCGUUGGGACCU
rnacentral:tRNA from 1 species